UGAAAUAGAAAUAAUCUAAUUUUAUUUAAAUACAUAAAUUUCAACGAAAUAAUAUAUUAAACAAUCUCCUGUAUAUUUCAAUACUAUUUAUGCCUUUUCUUUCUCAUAAUUAAUUGUAUUCACCCAUAAAUAAUAGAGAGCUUGACAUUAACCAUAAUUAUGGGCUUGACAACAUCAUCAUAUGACAAAUGUUGAGAAACACUGUGACUCAAGCCACGUCAAAGUGGCUGUAAACUAUUGUUAUAUUCGACAGAAAACCUUUGUCCGUUUGCCUACAGGCUCGGCAUAUCCGCAUACAAAAUAGUGUCCAAUGUUGCCGCCUGCAAAAUCCUUUUUAAGAUAAAUUUUAAACAUAUAAUCUAUAGAUAAACCUGACUACAUAAUAACAUAUUCAAUGUGAAUAGGAUAAUAAAAAAUUAUUAUAUAAUUAAUUUUUUCUAUAUGGUAAAUUAAAUUUAUUUAAAAAAUUUCUCCUUCUUUAAAUAGAGAAAAAUCAUAUAAAAUUCUUCACUAUUUAAUAAUAUAUACGAUCCUCUUACAAAUAUAUGAAAAAUGAACUGCUGUAAAAUUCUAGCUUUACUGUUCAGUUUUUUUUAUAAACUUAAAAUUCAAAAAAAAAUUUAUUCUAUUAUAUAUCCACACACUGUUGUCAUUUUUAAUUUAUAAAAAACCCAAAUAAGUCUUGAGCUAUACAAUAUGAGCAGUCAUCCUCUUAUACUUGUCAUAAAGGUGAGAUUUUAUCUAAUAUAAAUAUAAAAAAUUGAACUCAAAACUUUCAUCUCCCAAAUCAUUUACUAUUUACUGACUUUCAUCUCCCAAAUCAUUUACUCUUAUCAUAUGAUACAUCUCAAGCAUCACCGCCGUAAUCUUUUACAUCAUCACUCCUUUGAAAUUGCCUGGAAAAAUAUCCAAGCUUUUCAUUAGAUUAUUACAGCUCCAUAGUAUUUCAAAAUUAGUUUUCAUACUUGUUAUAAGAAUAAAAAUUUAUGAAAAUAAAAACACAUAUAAAACAAAGGAGAAGACUCAAUCCAUAACCUCUUAGUCCAAAAAAACAAACAUUCUUAACACUUUGACUGUUUCUUGUCAAAGUGAUAUAUAUGUUUUUUUAUUAUUCCUGACCUCGUGUUCUUUUUGUUGGUUUAUUUUGUUUGUCAGCCCUUAUGGGUCGAUAACCUUCCAUAAUUUUCUUUAUCAUCUAAUAUAACUUAUUAUUACAAAUGAAUAAUGAGGUGGAUAUCAACUUAGCUAAGACUUUCAAGUCUACUAUAUAUAUAUAUAUUAGGGGUUAGAAAGAUUAUAAGAAACACAAAGGAUUCACCACUCAAUACAGAAUUUGUACAAUCAAAAAGAGAAACAAAGAUACAUACAAAAUCUGCACUGGGUGUUGAGACUUUCCAGCUUUGAGGAGGAGGAGCUGCUGCUAUUGCGAUUAGGAUGUGGUCCUUAUAUCUUUUUAAAUAUAUAGUCGUGUGUGUCUCCGUCUUUAAAUUUCUGAACCUUAUCUCUGCACCCUAUAUAUGGAGUCCUCAACGUCACAGGUUGCUUUUCUCUCCAAAUCUCGACUUCCUUCUAGAAGGGUUUUGUACAUG
rnacentral:lncRNA from 1 species